AGGCUUCGCAAGGACCAGAGGCCGUCGCCGGUUAUCCGGCGUCAAGAAACCAAAGUGGUUUCCAAGCAUUGUUGAAAGGUAUCUUAUUCUGAAUACAUAGGGAUAAGAAGCGAACGCAGGGAACUGAAACAUCUAAGUACCUGCAGGAAAGGACAUCAACCGAGACUCCGCAAGUAGUGGCGAGCGAACGCGGACCAGGCCAGUGGCAAUGAGGAAUAAAGUGGAACGAUCUGGGAAAGUUCGGCCGUAGCGGGUGAUAGCCCCGUACACGUAGAACACUCAUUGUCCUUGAGUAAGGCGGGACACGUGAAAUCCUGUCUGAACAUGGGGAGACCACUUC
rnacentral:rRNA from 1 species